UACGAAGGCCUCAAGCGUUAUCCGGAAUUAUUGGGCGUAAAGCGUCCGCAGUCGGUCUUAUAAGCGUGUCGUCAAAUCUCUGGGCUCAACCCAGGGGCUGCGAUGCGAACUGUAAGGCUAGAGCAUGGAAGGGGCAUCUGGAAUUGUCGGUGUAGUAGUAAAAUGCGUUAAUAUCGACAGGAACACCAAAAGCGAAAGCAUGAUGCUAGAACAUUGCUGACGAUCAGGGACGAAAGCGUGGGGAGCGAAU
rnacentral:rRNA from 1 species